rnacentral:lncRNA from 13 species
GAUGUUGUGGGAAGUUUACUUAAUACUUGUCUUAUUCAAAUGAGGUUUUUAUUUUUUGGUUGGUUUUUUUUUUCUUUUGUCUCUCUCUAUCUAUGCUGGAGUGUAGUGGCACAAUCUUGGCUCACCUCAACCUCCACUUCCUGGGUUCAAGCAAUUCUCUUGCCUCAGCCUUCUGAGUGGCUGGGAUUACAGGCAUGCACCACCAUGUCUGGCUAAUUUUUGCAUUUUAGUAGAGAUGGGGUUUCACCAUGUUGGCCAGGCUGGUCUCGAACUCCUGACCUCAAGUGAUCCACCUUGGCCUCUCAAAGUGUUGGGUUUACAGGCGUGAGCCACUAUGCCUACCCGUGUGAAAGAUUUAUACUAUAGGCAUUCCUGGGGGACUCCUUUGGGCUCCACCCACUUAGGCAACAGGGUGUUAGCGGGUCCCUGACCAAUUGUGUGGGACCUACCAAGUGUUUUCUGCCUUACUUUAAGGACCCAGCAGAUCCUCCCCUCCUCCACAAAGCCUUCCCGAGCAUUCCUAUUCUCAUUCUCGCAUCCAUCUUUCUUUCUAGUUCUUAAUAUCCAUGAUCAUCAGCCCUGUGCUUGCCUGGGGCAUCUUCUUUCUUGGCUGUUUAGUGUUACUUAUUUAUCUGUUUAGGCACUUACCUCUUUUGCCCCCAGGGAUGGUGGGUAUUUUGAGGAUGGUGGUACCUGAGUUGCACUUGUUAAUAUCCCCCUGUUCCGUGCAAAGUGUCUUCACACUUACACACACACCCACACAUGAUGCACUCACACAAAUGCUCCCAUCACCUUAAACCAGCAGGUAUCUGACUAUAAAUAAUCACCGAUGGAGACAUUGACGUCUCAUGAAUUUAGCUCUUCAUACUUCAUAAGAACCUUCGCACACUAUGUCAUUGCAGUUUUACGACCACCUGGGAGGAAGAUGUGUUACACCUUUCUCAAAAGCUGAGAACACAGAGGCUCAGAGAAGUGAGAUGACAUGGGAGACUCACAGCCAGACCUUUCGAGAGACAAAUAUUUGCCACAAACAAUCGCUGAUCCCUUCACCCAAGGGAGGGCUAGGGAGUACUCCCUCUGACCCAUGUUGCAGAAGAAGAAAGCCCUUGCAGUGGCUGAGAGGGCAAAAAGGGAGACAUUUCCAAACAGCAAAAGGACAAUGUUCUCUUCUAGAGGAGCUAGAAGACGCAGGUCUAACCACGGAGCAGGCUUCUCUAGGUAAGCAUUCUUCCCAUAUCCUAUUCAAUAUUUUAGAAUAUGCGCAUCUUCUUUCUGUAUCAUUAUUCUGUAUCUGUAUCUUUAUCAUUCUCCGCCCAAUUGUCCAUUCUUUUUUCAUGCAAUAUUAGUUCUUUAAACAGCCACUCUGACUGGGAGCCAUAUAAAAUGUGUUGGUGACAUAGAGAAUGGACUCUGAUGAAUGUUUUAUUUCCUUAUCUGUCAUUCUUAUCCCUGGCCUUCUCUCCUGUCUCUGGUUACCUGCUUCACUUAGCUGGCCAACUGAGAAUGAGAUGAAGGAUGAAAAUAAAUUGGCAGAUUGCCUUUAGCUGCGAGACA